rnacentral:rRNA from 1 species
UGUGUGUCGUAGUUAACGCGUUAAACAGGGCGCCUGGGAAGUACGGCCGCAAGGCUAAAACCCAAAGGAAUUGACGGGGACCCGCACAAGCAGUGGAGCGCCUGGUUUAAUUCGAUGGUCAGCGAAGAACCUCACCUAGGCUUGAACUGUAGCUGCACACUCCCAGAAACGGGAGAAUCCUUCGAGGGUGCUACAGAGGUGCUGCAUGGCUGUCGUCAGCUCGUGUCGUGAGAUGUAGGGUUAAGUCCCACAACGAGCGCAACCCCUAUUCAGUGUUAUAAUUACUCUGAAGACUGCCCUGUCCAAACGGGGAGGAAGGAGGGGACGACGUCCAGUCAUCAUGUCCCUUAUGUCUAGGGCUACACAGACGCUACAAUGGCCGGUACAAUGGGUUGCCAAACCGCGAGGUGGAGCCAAUCCCAUCAAAGCCGGUCCCAGUUCGGAUUGCAGUCUGCAACUCGACUGCAUGAAGUUGGAAUUGCUAGUAAUCGCGAAUCAGCACGUCGCGGUGAAUACGUUCUCGGGUCUUGUACACACCGCCCGUCAGGGCACGGGAGUCGCUCUUGCUCGAAGU